rnacentral:rRNA from 1 species
ACCAGACUCCUACGGGAGGCAGCAGUGGGGAAUAUUGCACAAUGGGGGGAACCCUGAUGCAGCGACGCCGCGUGAGCGAUGAAGUAUUUCGGUAUGUAAAGCCCUAUCAGCAGGGAAGAAAAUGACGGUACCUGACUAAGAAGCCCCGGCUAACUACGUGCCAGCAGCCGCGGUAAUACGUAGGGGGCGAGCGUUAUCCGGAUUCACUGGGUGUAAAGGGAGCGUAGACGGCCAUGCAAGCCAGGGGUGAAAGCCCGGGGCCCAACCCCGGGACUGCCCUUGGAACUGCAUGGCUGGAGUGCGGGAGGGGCAGGCGGAAUUCCUGGUGUAGCGGUGAAAUGCGUAGAUAUUAGGAGGAACACCAGUGGCGAAGGCGGCCUGCUGGACGAUGACUGACGUUGAGGCUCGAAAGCGUGGGGAGCAAACAGGAUUAGAUACCCCGGUA